ACCGAGUGCCAGCAUCAUAUGCUGGCUGUCCAGGUGUGUAAAAUACACCUGUUAGCAAGGGCCGGGCAAGACCGGUGCCAGCCGCCGCGGUAACACCGGCGGCCCGAGUGGUGAUCGUGAUUAUUGGGUCUAAAGGGUCCGUAGCCGGUUUGGUCAGUCCUCCGGGAAAUCUGAUAGCUUAACUAUUAGGCUUUCGGGGGAUACUGCCAGGCUUGGAACCGGGAGAGGUAAGAGGUACUACAGGGGUAGGAGUGAAAUCUUGUAAUCCCUGUGGGACCACCUGUGGCGAAGGCGUCUUACCAGAACGGGUUCGACGGUGAGGGACGAAAGCUGGGGGCACGAACCGGAUUAGAUACCCGGGUAGUCCCAGCCGUAAACGAUGCUCGCUAGGUGUCAGGCAUGGCGCGACCGUGUCUGGUGCCGCAGGGAAGCCGUGAAGCGAGCCACCUGGGAAGUACGGCCGCAAGUCUGAAACUUAA
rnacentral:rRNA from 1 species